AUUCCAAUUAAAACAGCUUGGCUGUAGUGGGCCAAGAAGGGAGGGGGAAAACGGGCUCUGGGACAGGACCGUAACUGGCGCCACUGCUCCGCACACACCAAACAAUAUGAAUCAAAACCAUAAGCAUGAAACUAAGAACAAUGCGUAAAACAAGAGAAAAUACUGUCAAACGCACAACUGAAAAAUGCAAGGAGCAAGUGAGAGGCCCAGUCACCAGCCCCACCACUGUCCGGUAGCCACGUUGCUGCCACCCCCAAGGACUCCUGAACAGAAACAAAGACCCAGAUUUAGUAAAUACAGUUUUGUGCAAAAUAACCUUUUGGAGCAGGAGUUUAACUAUUCAAUUGGUUCUGUCUGUGUCGCAAUCUGUGAGACAAACCGUGUUAGAAAACCAAUUGGUGAUACAGAGCCACAUUCUUGUGCCUGAAGGAAAGAGGUUUACUAUGGGACCCACUCAAAUGUAGCGGAACCAGUGUAAUAUACACUCCACCAAAAGAAUAGUAAUUAAUGUCAAUAUAUUUCAAUUUUAAAGUAUUUGCUGCAAAUUCUGCAUUCUGCAAAUGUGCACCUUUCCCUUUCUGAGAGACAUCAGUUUCAGAUUGCAAGUGCAAGUGCACAUCAUUUACACCCAUGUAGCUUUACCCGACCUCCAUUGGAAGUGACAAAUGUUUCCACUGUUUAAAUGUAUGUUCUUAACAAAGAGAUCUCAAAUACUGUAAAACAAAAGUCUUCAACUAUGGCCACUGGCGAGCUUGGCCAAAAGUGGGAUAUAUAAUGGAGUAAACUACAAGUGUGGGAUGAUUUUGAUCCAUGGCUUAUUGGGUUGCACUGCGAGAGUUUGCCGAAAUGAUCUAAAUGGUAAUACUGCAAGACAAGUUCAUCUUUGUUGUCAAGAAGCUCAGCCUGUAAGAUUAUAGAUGAAUGAUUUAAGUAAUGAAUAAUCUUUUUGGAAAUGUGUAGCCAGUGAGGAAAUGUCCCUCCUAAGCUACUGUAGGUUCAGGAAGGCCUUGGUACCGCCUACUUCCUGGUUUACCCAUUAGACAGGGUAUAAAAGCUGCACAUGAUGAAGCUGCAUCAGUGUGAUUGUCCCUUUCUUUGUUGGAGUUUGGCUUGAGAAUCCAGUAAGUGGGUAAGUGUUUCUAUUCUCCCUCCAGUCCAGGCUGUUAUGGGAAGCCACUGCAGUUUUGCUUUAUACUGUUUUGUCUUUCUUUAUUUGAGUAGUAUUUGUUUGGUUACCUUAGAAUCCGGAAAAUUACUUUUUGUUAAAUUUUGUUCUUUUUAGGUGUUGAGGCUCAACCGCAUGGCUGCCCAGAUGGUGGUGAGUCUGGUGACUGGGCCCCUCACCUGCUCUCCAUAUUCUCAGUAGUUUUGGUAUUUUUUUUUUUUUCAGUAAUGGUGAAUUUUGAUGGGUUUGUGUGUGGCCUCUAAGCCGGUGAGGGCCCUGUCCCCCGCUGCAGCCUAGUCACCAGUAACACAAUUUGUUUUGAAGCCCAUUUUGUUGUUGUUUUAAUUCCUAGAGACACCUGUUGGGUCACCUGUUGAUCCGUGCUUGUUUAAUAAUGAAUUGUAUGAGGAAAUAAAUCACCCUGUGCUACCGGGGGUUACAAAUGUCUUUGCUACAAUUAAACAACUCUUCUCAUGAUUUAAUAUGCACACUAUGCCUUAGCUAAAACUAAUGCAUUCAAAUGCAACAGUUCAACUAUUUCUCCCUCAUUCUUCCAUUUUGGUGAAGUAGACCGACCAAAUAGAAAUUGGCCAGUGGUACUCCUAGAGGCUAUUUCCACAUAGUUGAACUUUACUAAUUGCUUGUGGUCUCUUCUCAGACUGCUAUGGCUGGUUCGACACCUGCAGAAUCAAGGUGAUUUUGGGAGCGCAGCAUGGGAAAACUGACUCUUCCAAAGUCACUAGAUUAUCGUCACAGCAAGAUGAGGACAAACCAGGUUAAAGGAGAAUCUGACUGCGAUACAUGGAUGAAGUUGGCCAAUUUCUUUUAAUCUCAAUUCUACCACUGAAUUUGAGGACUAUUAAGCUGCCAAACUGUUUGUUCAAUAUGUGUUUGAAAAGAAACCUGGUGGUGCCAUAGAGUACAAACAAAAGCCGCACAGAGAACUCAAGGCCCAUAUCCACCCCGGACAGUCGAAGCGCACCCAGACUGCAGGGGGCGACGAUGCGGCUAAUGGAGAUUCCACCCACAGGAAGUGCCUGCGUACGAACAGGAAGCGCAUGGCAUAAAAUGUUUGUGCAGAGCUCCGAUGGCCCUCUCACUCGGCCCUGAGGAAAAGGACACUGUGGCCACGGGCUCUAAUCUCCCAGAGACGCAACUGGACACCACUGCAAUUGCUGAUUAUGGACUGUCUACUUUAAAUGACCGCACAGUCCAGAUCAAAGGAGGCUUAUGGGGAGCAGAUGGGCGGGGCCUGAGCUCUUCAUGCAGGUAUUGUUUUUGUAAUGCUUGUCGUGGCUCUGCUAAAAUGUCUAAUUGUAUUCCAUGCCAGAGUUUCUGUUCUUCCAAUAUGUAGCGGUCUGUCUUGCAGAACUAUUUGGACCCUUAAUUUGCUGUUUGCCAAUAGUUCAAGAAUGUGUUUGUAUUUCUAAAUGUUAUCGUGUGUGCAAGGAGAUGCCAACUUGUCAAUUUUUUUUUUUUUUCCUG